GGUCCGAGAGUAGUGGUGUUUACAAC
rnacentral:piRNA from 2 species